rnacentral:ncRNA from 1 species
CCAGACACAAUGAGGAUUGACAGAUUGAGAGCUCUUUCUUGAUUUUGUGGGUGGUGGUGCAUGGCCGUUCUUAGUUGGUGGAGUGAUUUGUCUGCUUAAUUGCGAUAACGAACGAGCCCUUAACCUGCUAAAUAGCCCGUAUUGCUUUGGCAGUACGCCGGCUUCUUAGAGGGACUAUCGGCUCAAGCCGAUGGAGCAAUUAUACGGCGAAACUGCGAAUGG